rnacentral:rRNA from 1 species
AUUGAACGCUGGCGGCAGGCCUAACACAUGCAAGUCGAACGAGUGGCGGACGGGUGAGUAAUGUGUGGGAAACUGCCCGAUGGAGGGGGAUCACUUCUGGAAACGGUAGCUAAUACCGCAUACCAUCGGAUGUGCCCAGAUGGGAUUAGCUAGUAGGUGGGGUAGCGGCUCACCUAGGCGACGAUCCCUAGCUGGUCUGAGGGGAUGAACAGCCACACUGGAACUGAGACACGGUCCAGACUCCUACGGGAGGCAGCAGUGGGGAAUAUUGCACAAUGGGCGCAAGCCUGAUGCAGCCAUGCCGCGUGUAUGAAGAAGGCCUGCGGGUUGUAAAGUACUUUCAGCGGGGAGGCGUUACCCGCAGAAGAAGCACCGGCUAACUCCGUGCCAGCCGCCGCGGUAAUAC